rnacentral:rRNA from 1 species
UACAGAGGGUGCGAGCGUUAAUCGGAAUUACUGGGCGUAAAGAGUGCGUAGGUGGUUUAAUAAGUCAGAUGUGAAAUCCCCGGGCUCAACCUGGGAACUGCAUUUGAAACUAUUAGGCUAGAGUACGGUAGAGGGAAGUGGAAUUUCCGGUGUAGCGGUGAAAUGCGUAGAUAUCGGAAAGGAACAUCAGUGGCGAAGGCGACUUCCUGGACCGCAACUGACACUGAGGCACGAAAGCGUGG